GAUGAAGAACGCAGCGAAAUGCGAUAAGUAAUGUGAAUUGCAGAAUUCCGUGAAUCAUCGAAUCUUUGAACGCACAUUGCGCCCCCUGGCAUUCCGGGGGGCAUGCCUGUCCGAGCGUCAUUUCUGCCCUCCAGCCCGGCUGGGUGUUGGGCGCUGUCCCCCCGGGGACACGUCCCAAAGGCAGUGGCGGCGCCGCGUCGGGUCCUCGAGCGUAUGGGGCUUUGUCACCCGCUCGGGACGGACUCGUCGGCGCUGGUCUUCCUCCAGGCGACCCUUCGGGGCUCGUCUUCCUUCGGUUGACCUCGGAUCAGGUAGGGUUACCCGCUGAACUUAAGCAUAUCAAUAAGCGGAGGA
rnacentral:misc_RNA from 1 species